rnacentral:rRNA from 1 species
GUGGGGAAUAUUGGGCAAUGGGGGAAACCCUGACCCAGCGACGCCGCGUGAGGGAAGAAGGCCUUAGGGUCGUAAACCUCUGUUGUGUGGGAAGAAGAGCGUGACGGUACCACACGAGGAAGUCCCGGCUAACUACGUGCCAGCAGCCGCGGUAAUACGUAGGGGACGAGCGUUGUCCGGAUUUACUGGGCGUAAAGGGCGCGUAGGCGGUCAUUUAAGUCAGCUGUGAAAUGGUUUGGGUUAACCGGAUCAUGCGGUUGAAACUGGAUGACUGGAGUGCUGGAGAGGCAAGUGGAAUUCCCAGUGUAGCGGUGAAAUGCGUAGAUAUUGGGAAGAACACCGGUGGCGAAGGCGACUUGCUGGCCAGCAACUGACGCUGAGGCGCGAAAGCCAGGGGAGCAAACGGGAUUAGAAACCCGGGUAGUCC